GCUCAGGACGAACGCUGGCGGCGUGCUUAACACAUGCAAGUCGAACGAUGAACCACUUCGGUGGGGAUUAGUGGCGAACGGGUGAGUAACACGUGGGCAAUCUGCCCUUCACUCUGGGACAAGCCCUGGAAACGGGGUCUAAUACCGGAUACUGACCCUCGCAGGCAUCUGCGAGGUUCGAAAGCUCCGGCGGUGAAGGAUGAGCCCGCGGCCUAUCAGCUUGUUGGUGAGGUAAUGGCUCACCAAGGCGACGACGGGUAGCCGGCCUGAGAGGGCGACCGGCCACACUGGGACUGAGACACGGCCCAGACUCCUACGGGAGGCAGCAGUGGGGAAUAUUGCACAAUGGGCGAAAGCCUGAUGCAGCGACGCCGCGUGAGGGAUGACGGCCUUCGGGUUGUAAACCUCUUUCAGCAG
rnacentral:rRNA from 2 species